rnacentral:snRNA from 1 species
UGCCGGCCGGGGGACGGA